GCCGGGCGUGGUGGCUCAUGCCUGUAAUCCCAGCUACAUGGGAGGCUGAGGCACGAGAAUCGCUUGAACCCAGGAGGCAGAGGUUGUAGUGAGCCAAGAUUGCACCACUGCACUCCGGCCUGGGUGACAGAGUGAGACUCUGUCUCUC
rnacentral:sRNA from 1 species